CGGACAUCAGGAGGUUAGCGCAAUGGCAUAAGCUAGCUUGACUGCGAGCGUGACGGCGCGAGCAGGUGCGAAAGCAGGUCAUAGUGAUCCGGUGGUUCUGAAUGGAAGGGCCAUCGCUCAACGGAUAAAAGGUACUCCGGGGAUAACAGGCUGAUACCGCCCAAGAGUUCAUAUCGACGGCGGUGUUUGGCACCUCGAUGUCGGCUCAUCACAUCCUGGGGCUGAAGUAGGUCCCAAGGGUAUGGCUGUUCGCCAUUUAAAGUGGUACGCGAGCUGGGUUUAGAACGUCGUGAGACAGUUCGGUCCCUAUCUGCCGUGGGCGCUGGAGAAUUGAGGGGGGCUGCUCCUAGUACGAGAGGACCGGAGUGGACGCAUCACUGGUGUUCGGGUUGUCAUGCCAAUGGCACUGCCCGGUAGCUAAAUGCGGAAGAGAUAAGUGCUGAAAGCAUCUAAGCACGAAACUUGCCCCGAGAUGAGUUCUCCCUGAGACUAUAAGUCUCCUGAAGGAACGUUAAAGACGAUGACGUUGAUAGGCCGGGUGUGUAAGCGCAGCGAUGCGUUGAGCUAACCGGUACUAAUGAACCGUGAGGCUUAACCUUACAACGCCGAAG
rnacentral:rRNA from 1 species